rnacentral:rRNA from 1 species
CGCGUAGGCGGACUUUUAAGUCGGAGGUGAAAGCCCAGGGCUCAACCCUGGAAUUGCCUUCGAUACUGGGAGUCUUGAGUUCGGAAGAGGUUGGUGGAACUGCGAGUGUAGAGGUGAAAUUCGUAGAUAUUCGCAAGAACACCGGUGGCGAGGCGGCCAACUGGUCCGAAACUGACGCUGAGGCGCGAAAGCGUGGGGAGCAAACA